rnacentral:rRNA from 1 species
AUCGAACGCUGGCGGCAGGCCUAAUACAUGCAAGUCGAGCGAGCGGCGGACGGGUGAGUAAUGUAUGGGGACUGCCCGUUAGAGGGGGAUAACUACUGGAAACGGUUGCUAAUACCGCAUACUAUCGGAUAACCCAUAUGGGAUUAGCUAGUGGGUGAGGUAAUGGCUCACCUAGGCGACGAUCCCUAGCUGGUCUGAGAGGAUGAUCAGCAACACUGGGACUGAGAAACGGCCCAGACGCCUACGGAGGCAGCAGUGGGGAAUAUUGCACAAUGGGCGCAAGCCUGAUACAGCAAUGCCGCGUGUAUGAAGAAGGCCCUAGGGUUGUAAAGUACUUUCAGUCGGGAGGCGUUACCGAAAGAGGAAGCACCGGCUAACUCCGUGCCAGCAGCCGCGGUAAUAC